UUCUUAGGGUUCAUGGCAGUUGGGUGGCCACAAGGCAGAGUGUAUGUCAUGUUGUUUUGACUUAUCCCCCAUAGCAAGUCUUUCAGGGAGUGAUGUGGUGCAUCAAAGGGCGAGGAGACAGGAGCACUGGCAGGCUGAAAUGCUACGACAGCUGGAUCUCAGACACACAUUUUGGAUCAAGAAGAGGAAGCCAAUACUGAAAUGGUGGAACCGAAAGACAGAAAAAAAAGAGAUUGCCUGCAUAUCUAUGGACAAUUAAUUUAUGACAGAGAAACCAAGGACAUCUAAUGGGGAAAGGACAGUCUCUUCAAAAAAUAGUUCUAGAAAAACUGGAUAGCCACAUGCCAAAGAGUGAAACUAGGCUGUUAUUUCAUACUGUAAACAAAGAUGAACUCAAAAUGGAUUGACGACUUGAAUGUAAGACCUGAAACCAUAAAACUCAUGGAAGAAAACAUAGGUGGCAAGUUCCAUGACAUUAAUCUGAGUGAUGUAUUUGUAGAUCAACACUAAAGAGAAAGGAAACAAAAGGAAAAAUAAACAAGUGGGACAACAUCAAAUUAAAAAGCUUCUGCACAGUGAAAGAAACCAUCACAAAACAAAAAGGG